rnacentral:rRNA from 1 species
CAGAAUUCCGCGAAUCAUCGAGUCUUUGAACGCAAGUUGCGCCCGAGGCUUGUCCAAGGGCAUUUCCGCUAGAGCGUCACC